GAGGUCUCUACCUCUCACUGGUGAGCUCUUCUCCUUAGCACCACUCCUCCAUCUUCUGGUCCUUUUGUUUGGGUUAGAAAAAAACAACUCCUUUGCCCUCUGUUCAACCACAUGGCAUGACAUUGAAGUUUAGGAGAAUCAUCAGUCACCAGUGCCUCACUGCUAAUUCUUUCCAUUCUUUCAAUGAGCUGGAGAAAUUCACCAAGCAAGCAGAGACUCUCAUCCUGAACUGCAUGUCUUCAUCACUGCCACCACCACCUACUGGUCUGUUUCUCUUGGGAGAAUCUGCUGAGGAAGAGCAGGUUGUAUGGGAGGCUCCCAGCUAACACCACAUGAGAAACCUUCCUGACCUUUUCCUUUUGGAAACUCAUUCAACAACUUUAUGGACAAAGGUUGGAGUAUUCCACUGACCUUCCUUGUCAGAAGCAUGGCACAAUGCCUUGUCUGUUAUUGACGGGAUUGUCUGAGAUAAACCAAUUAGGUCUCUUCAGCUGACAUUUCUCCUUUCUGGACUAAAUGUUGGAAAGUUCUAAUACAAAAACUCUUUUUUCUCAUUCACAAUUCUUAGUAUGUGCAGAGAGUCGUAGGACUACUUGCAGGAACUUGAUGUGAGCAUGGUGACAAAAAAAAAAAAGUAUCUAGAAGGGAAUAGUCCAAGGGAGAGGUGGUUCUUGAAGUUGUUCUCCAACUCUUAGAUAUUCUGUGCUCCUAUUCCAGUUGAUAUGCUCUGCCUCUGGAGUUCUUGAGGACUGGCUAAUGAAAUGUUCCUGACCAGAAAAGUCACAAUGUAAGAGGACCUAUAGCAGCUGACCUUGCCGUACCUUCCUGGUUUCUAGUCUUCAUGUCUCUUCCAAGGGGUCUGCAUUGAGACCAUGAAUUUUAAACUCAUUCGUCAAAUUAAAAAAAAAAAAA